rnacentral:rRNA from 1 species
UAGGGAAUUUUCCGCAAUGGACGCAAGUCUGACGGAGCAACGCCGCGUGAGUGAAGAAGGAUUUCGGUUCGUAAAACUCUGUUGUUAGAGAAGAACAGCGCAUAGAGUAACUGUUAUGCGUGUGACGGUAUCUAACCAGAAAGCCACGGCUAACUACGUGCCAGCAGCCGCGGUAAUACGUAGGUGGCAAGCGUUGUCCGGAUUUAUUGGGCGUAAAGCGAGCGCAGGCGGUCAAUUAAGUCUGAUGUGAAAGCCCCCGGCUCAACCGGGGAGGGUCAUUGGAAACUGGUUGACUUGAGUGCAGAAGAGGCGAGUGGAAUUCCAUGUGUAGCGGUGAAAUGCGUAGAUAUAUGGAGGAACACCAGUGGCGAAGGCGACUCUCUGGUCUGUAACUGACGCUGAGGCUCGAAAGCGUGGGUAGCAAACAGG